GACUCAGUAGCUCAGCUGGAUAGAGCGUUUGACUACGAAUCAAAAGGCCGGGGGUUCGAAUCCCUCCUGGGUCACCA
rnacentral:tRNA from 2 species